rnacentral:tRNA from 1 species
UCGGUGAGAUCGUCGACGGUGUACGGCGACGCCUGUUCGGGCUGGUCGUGAACCAGUUAGGAGUGGGGGUUCCGGGCCCCGUUCUCCGGA